rnacentral:rRNA from 1 species
CCCAGACUCCUACGGGAGGCAGCAGUGGGGGAUAUUGCACAAUGGGGGGAACCCUGAUGCAGCGACGCCGCGUGGGUGAAGGAGCGUUUCGGCGCGUAAAGCCCUAUCGGCAGGGAAGAAGGAGGACGGUACCUGACUAAGAAGCCCCGGCUAACUACGAGCCAGCAGCCGCGGUAAUACGUAGGGGGCAAGCGUUAUCCGGAUUUACUGGGUGUAAAGGGGGCGCAGACGGCAGCGCAAGCCAGGAGUGAAAGCCCGGGGCCCAACCCCGGGACUGCUCUUGGAACUGCGCGGCUGGAGUGCAGGAGGGGCAGGCGGAAUUCCUGGUGUAGCGGUGAAAUGCGUAGAUAUCAGGAGGAACACCGGUGGCGAAGGCGGCCUGCUGGACUGCGACUGACGUUGAGGCUCGAAAGCGUGGGGAGCAAACAGGAUUAGAUACCCGUGUAC